UUGCCUCCUAUUGGCUGGUCGUGGUUCCCGCCGAAUUGAUUGGGCUAACGCUCUUCCCCACCAGGCCUCGGUUGGUCCGGAGUGGGCGGAACAAGGGGCGGGGGCUUUCUUCUGCUUUAAAUUGCAGAUGGUUGCUAGGGGCGCUCGGGACCCGAGGCGUGUGGCGAGACUUCGCGUUACGUGAAAGGUGUGAUCCCGGCCCAAGACUGGCAGUUGGGAGAGCUAGCACGGAGAGUUGGGCUGUCUGAACCCUGAUUUGAUGUGUCCUCCGCCGACUCCUGUAAUCCCCUUCAGAAGACGUUGGUCGCAUUUCCUCCAUGCUGUCCGCCUACUCAGCUCUCCGCGGGAUUUCCCGCUCUUCGGGCUCUGGCGCGGUUUCCUCCUUCGUGUUCUGUCGAGGGCUCCAUGACUUGGGCAGUAAUGGGUGCGCUGCAGUGGGUCUGAGCCGGCACCGUGGUCGAGUCCAUUCGCUUCAGCCAACCUGGCUCGUUUGCUGAGAAAUGUUGGUGGGUUUUAGUCUGUAAGAAAGUCUUCAAGUUUCCGCAAAGUUAAGGUGUCAGAUUUGUAUCUCAAUCCACAGCCUCUCCCACCUUCUCCUGCUCCCUUCCUGUUUAUCCUUCACAGAUAUUCCCCCAAUAAAUCUGUUAUAUGUUA